UACGGGGGGGGGCAAGCGUUGUUCGGAAUUACUGGGCGUAAAGGGCUCGUAGGCGGCCAACUAAGUCAUACGUGAAAUCCCUCGGCUUAACCGGGGAACUGCGUCUGAUACUGGAUGGCUUGAGUUCGGGAGAGGGAUGCGGAAUUCCAGGUGUAGCGGUGAAAUGCGUAGAUAUCUGGAGGAACACCGGUGGCGAAGGCGGCAUUCUGGACCAUAACUGACACUGAGAGACGAAAGCCAGGGGAGCAAACGGG
rnacentral:rRNA from 1 species